CACGUAGGGUGCGAGCGUUGUCCGGAAUUAUUGGGCGUAAAGAGCUCGUAGGCGGUCUGUCGCGUCUGCUGUGAAAACCCGAGGCUCAACCUCGGGCCUGCAGUGGGUACGGGCAGACUAGAGUGCGGUAGGGGAGAUUGGAAUUCCUGGUGUAGCGGUGGAAUGCGCAGAUAUCAGGAGGAACACCGAUGGCGAAGGCAGAUCUCUGGGCCGUAACUGACGCUGAGGAGCGAAAGCGUGGGGAGCGAACAGG
rnacentral:rRNA from 1 species